UGGGAAUAUGUGAGGGAUAAUGAGAUAUGGCAGUUAGAGCAAAAGGAAAGUGGCAUUUUACCUGCUCUGAGGUUAAGCUACGAUCAAUUGCCACCUCACCUUAAACAAUGCUUUGCUUAUUGUUCAUUCUUUCCCAAGGAUUAUCAAUUUGAUAGUCAUUAUUUGGUUCUAUUUUGGAUGGCUCAUGGUCUUCUCCAAUCGCAUAAUAAGAAAGAAGAUUUAGAAGAUAUUGGUAAGCGGUACUUGAAGGAAUUAGUAUCAAGAUCUUUCUUCCAAGAUUUGAAUUUUGAGACGUUUGGACGGGAGGUGUUGUAUUUCAAAAUGCACGACCUUAUGCAUGAUCUUGCCCUGCUAGUGGCCAAAGAUGAAUCCCUAGUAGUGAACUCUGAUUGUCAAUCUAUUCCCAAAAGAGUCCGCCAUUUGUCAUUUGCUGCUGCUAAUGCAUCAAGAAAUGACUUUUCAAGCCUUUUGUCUGAUCUAGGUCGUGUGAGAACCAUUUUAUUUUCAACUGAUGAUGGGAAGACAAGCCAAUCAUUUGUUGAAUCAUGCAUCUCAAAGUCGCAGUUCCUGAGAGUGCUAAAUUUAAGUGAAUCUGCUCUUGAGGUUUGUCCCAGGAAGAUGGGAAAUUUGAAGCACAUGAGGUGUCUUGAUCUGUCGAGAAAUUAUAAAAUCAAGAAACUUCCAAAAUCCAUUUGCGAGCUACAGAGUUUACAAGCACUGAUUCUUGAAGGAUGUCUGGAGCUAGAAGAGUUGCCUAAAGACAUAAGGUACCUUGUCAGUCUCAGAGUGUUUGCGCUAACCAUAAAACAGAAGUCUUUGCAAGAGAGUGGAAUAAGGAGCUUGGGUUCUCUUCGUUGUUUGACAAUUUGUGAUUGUAGGGAUUUAGAACAUUUGUUCGAGGAGAUAGAUCAAUUAAGUGUCCUUCGAACAUUGUCAAUUGCUCGUUGUCCUCGUCUAAUCUCAUUGCCACCUGCUAUCAAAUAUCUCAGCUCAUUAGAGACUCUGAUUUUGUGGAUGUGUAAAAGCCUUGAUCUUAAUCUGAACGUGGAAAUGGAAGGUGAAGGAAGUCAUCAUGAUCGCAAAAACACAAGGCCUCACCUUCGGAGGGUUAUCAUCAGGGGAAUAACACAGUUAUUAGAACUGCCACAAUGGCUUCUUCAAUGUUGUACUGAUACUUUACAGAGCUUGGUUAUUCUUGAUUGUCCCAACUUCAUGGCACUACCAAGGUCUCUAAAAGGCCUCGAAGCUCUUGAAACUCUUGCCAUUAAAGAAUGUCCAAAAUUGUCAUCGUUGCCGGAGGAUAUGCAUCACGUCACAACUCUGAAAUCAUUGCUCAUUGAAGGAUGUCCUGCGCUGAGUGAACGAUGCAAACCGCCAACAGGUGAAGAUUGGCCCAAGAUUGCACAUAUCCGUCAGGUUCAUCUUGAUGGCGAGAUGAUUAAAUCAAGCGAUAAUUAGGUAUGGAUUUUUUUUUCAAUAAGCAUACCACUCUGUUAUAUUUCCUCUUUUCAUGCAGCUUUCUAAUUUUUAAUUUCUCAUACAGCUAUACCGUUUCUAGUUUAAUGUUUUGUUAUGUUUACCAAACGAAAACUUGACUUUGAACGUUAGUUAGUUCAAUCAAAUUUGUACUAAUUUAUUUUCUUCUAAUACAUAAUUAGUUAGUCAGUACGAAACACAAAAAUAAUAUUUUGGAAACCGCACUGUUCUAGGGGUCAGACCUGUUUCUAAAUUCAAACAGUUCAGGAUUUUUCAAAAUGGAGGGACAGUGAAUAUUGCAGCUUUCUUGGGAGAGGUUCAACCAAACUGCAGGGACAGUGAAAAUAUUACUCUAACGUUGUUCAGAAUAGAGCUUCAACGGUUUUAAUGUUGUGUUUUAAAGUUACAAGUAUUAUAUAUUCGUUACGUGUGGUUAUGUAAUUUGCUGAUAUAUAAGUACAUUGAGUGAGGUAUAUGUGUGUGCCUGUGUGGUCAUUACUGAAUUUCUCAGUAAUAUAAUUUGCAUUGACUGCAGAUUUGUGUAAUGGGAACGGUGGUGUCUGUAUUUUGUGCUUUGUGAUUGAUGACUUACAUUUGCCCAGGAAGAAAUGAAAACAAAUCGGCUUCUUGAAAUUAACCAUUUAUUCUUUCGAAUGGUAACCUUUUUGUGACAUGAUUCGCAUAUUAAUCAAAAGCAGUUGGCAAACUAAUUAGAUAUUGCAUCGUGAUUCGUGGCCUUGAAGUGAAAUGAGUGAGCAUGUUUGUGGAGGUUUUUGUUUUUUGUUUUUUUUUCCUCCAUAUAAAAUGACUAAUUCGAAAGAAUAUGUAUUGUAAUAGAACCUUGAACUUCUAUGUAUUUUAGGAUGAAAAUUCUGGACAAUAGAAAAUAUUAAAACGAAAAUUAAAGAAGCUUGCAACUUGGAACUGCAAUCUAGCUCGACCUACAAUAUAUAUAUAUAUAUAUAUAUAUAUGUUAUUAAUUAAUUGAUCAGGUAAGAUAGGGAGAGACUCGCGGACUCUUUACAAGGAGCAAAAAUGGUAUGAAACUCUGUUUUGAUUAAAAUUCAAUGACUUUCUUCGUAUUAAUCAAAUUAAUUAAUUAAUUAUUUUGGUAAAAAGAAUUUGCCAAUUGUGUGGCGGUCUUCAGACCCUUGACGGUGGUGAAAUUGAUUCACGGUUUCAAAUGAAAGACAUGCAGCGGAUGCGAACGUGCCGUAUGACAUCGAUGAAAAAGUAAAGAGUUUGAUUUCUCUAUUUUACCCUUAAUUAAUCGUUGACAUCUAAUUUUACACUCCCAACAAAUUUGAAUGAAACAAUCCUAACGUUCACUUUCUUCUUCGAUUUCAUUUUACGACUUAACAAAAACGAGAUGCUCCUGAUGAGGGGAAGGAGAAGAAGACACAGUGAGUUCGCAAGAACGUGUACAGAGGAAUAAGGCAGAGGCCAUGGGAGAAAUGGGCAGCUGAAAUUAGAGACCCUUACAAGGGCGUCCGCGUUUGGCUCGGCACAGCCGAAAAUGCUGCAAGAGUUUAUGCUGACGUCGCCAAGAAUAUCCGUGGCAACAAGGCCUAGCUCGACUUUGCUCACCGGCCGCCAGUAACUCCACCUCCAGGUAAGAAACGCUUCGUGCUAUCCCGUGAGUUGACUCAGCCGAGUUUCGGAGAUUACUUUUUUUUUUGGUUUUCAUUGAUUUCUUUUCCUGCUCUUAUCUACGAGGUUGUGCUCUCCCUUGGAUGCCCUUUAAUAAACAGCUUUCCUAAUAACAACUGAAGCGAAAAGUCAUUUUAUCAAAUGAUUUGGUGAAAUUUCAAGUACUUUCAUCUUGGUUUUUGCAGUUAAUAGGAAAUAGUUUGGUGUUGGGAUGUGGUAUAUGUAUCAAGUUCUUAUUGCUGGUGAACAUUACUGGUUUAGUGUGCGAUCGUUUACUAUCACUGCAUGCAUUAUCAGUUUAUUUUAUUGAACUAUCCCAAAUCAGUAACGAAUCCUCAAUUCCCUCUGUUUUCUUUGGAUCCUAGUAGUGUUUGGCAUGCAUCAACUAGUGUUCAUGCAUGUGUCGGUUCAUCAUAGACAACUUCAGCACACAUACAACAGCCCUCAUUUCUCCUUGCUCCAACCAAUCGAUGGCAGAAUCAUCACAGACACCUUGAGCUCUGUCGAAUCAUCAUAGACAAUUUGUGAUUAGUGGGAGCAUUACAAGAAAGUUACGACUACUUCAAACUGUUAGAUUUGUUAAUAUGAUUCGGCUAUAGUUCUAUAUAUGGUUAAGUUAUAACAGUAAUCAAGAGAUAAUCAUGUACAUCAGUAGUUAAAUAAAUGCAUACUAAUCUAUACCUCUACUUGCCGGAAUCCUAUAUGUAAAACAAGAUAAAUUUUAAUGUUUAAAACUUUGUAAUUCAUUAAAAAAUUAUUCGUCUACCUUUACAUUCCAAAUAUAAUUGGUGAGUUUUUGUGGGUCUGUUUGAUAUUUUAUGAUUACUAACUUCAUGGGUUUGAUGGAAUUUUUCAUUUUUAUGUUGUGAAUGUUUAGGGGAUGCGAGAGUGCUCUUCAAUUGCAUUGCCUUUGCUUUAUGUUUCUCUGACAAAAGUGUUUGCUUGUUCUUUACUUUAUCAGCUGAGAAUAUAUUUUACAAGUUUACGUUGAUUUCUGGCUUUAUGGCCUCUGUUUGAUGUGUGUAGUAUUUGACUGUAAUGCGAGUAUUGUGUGUUUUCAGCUUUGUAUGUGAUGCGGUAGAUAGUUAGUGUGCUCUUAAAUUCAAUCAAGGUAUGAUUCGUAUGAAGUGAUCUGCUAUCUAUCUUUUGGCAAAUUAAGCAUCGAUGAUUUAUGCUAAUUGAGCCGCUAAAAGUUGUCUUUGUGUGUGAUUGAGUACAUGUUAGUGUGAAUUCUCGUAAUGUUUAUCCAGUCAAAGCAAACGUUCGUCUUUCACAUUGACUAUUAGGCAAGAUGUUUGAUAGUGAAUUAGAUGAUUCAGUUUAUUAUAGUCUUCUUAUAUUGUCGGUUCAAUAUCAUUUUGAAAAAUCAUAUCAAAACUGCUUUUGGAGUUUUAAUCCAGCGCAGUUACACCUAUAUUGUACUUUUGAUCUGCAACCUUGAGUCACUGUCAUUUUGCUGUUAGUAUUUCGAUUAGCAACUUGUACAGUGGUAUUUGAACUGCAUGGUAUGUCAACUUUCACUCUAUGUGUCUUAGAAACUCUGUAUAUCACUAAUUUCCUAGCACAGGCCUUGUUGACAGUCAAAGAUUUGAGGCAUAUUUCUGUAUUGAAGGCUUUUCUGUCGUCAAUUUGAUGAUGAGCGCAUGUAUUAUCCCCAAUAUUUUGAGCAGGAACUUGUAACUAGUAAUAACCAGUACCUAAGAUGUUGCAUUUGAUUGACUUCUCUUUCUCGUUUAGUUUCAGCCGUUGGAGCUGUUUCAGACAUGGUAACUGAUACGUAAUUUCUCUCUUUCCACCCCACAAUGUGUCAUUAGUCAUCAUUCGUUCUGGUUGGCGUGGAUACGCAUACUAAUUUGGAUUAUUGUCUGUGCCUUCGUCUUUUGUCAAUAAUCUUUUGCAUUUCAGGAUUAGUACAUCUUGUAUACUGGUAAUACUCUCUCAACUAUACAUGUAAGACUUUGUUAUGUUUUCUUGACCCGUAAUCUAAUGCUAUAAGAUGACGGCAUAAUUGAGCUAUUUUGCAUCUCCAUGCAGGCCUGAUUUGGUUUUUGUGUCACUACCUGCAUUAGAUAUUGGUAGUCAACGGCUGCAGAUGUACAGGUGCCGUUUCGUUUCCCUGACGUAAUCUCAUGUAACAUGAAAUUGCUUGUGAAACUGGAAGAUAUUUGAUUCUUUUUGUUUUUUCAUUUUUGCUAAAGAAAAGUGUUACUUGCGUUGGGAAAUAUGCCUACCACUCUGGAUCUCCGUUGCAGUACAUUCUUGAGAGGAAAAUCUAGCCAUAAAAUGUAAAAGACAACACAAAUUGGCUUUUCAAAGCCUAUUAUGGGAACCAGAUGUUUAUGGGUUAUAGUUGUGUGGCAUGUGAGGUAAUUGUAGCUUUCCGUGUUAUUAUCCAUAUCAGGAUUUGCAAAUGUUAUCAGUGCUUUUUACCUGCAGCUUCUUUACCUAAUCAUAUUUCUUAUUGCGGAGACGCAGAGUGAAAGUUUGGUGGAUGUAGGAUCUCAUUUUCCUACUAUUAGAUUGUUCUGCAUAUAGAAAGAUUUCCCCUGUUUCUCGCUUUGCAAACAAUCUCUUCUUUCAGGUUGUGGUGAGUGCUGUGCGACAGGGCUCGCCUAUUUCCUUCCUAGUUGCAUUGAGUUUAUUCGGAUGGGCAAUCAAGCAAACGAUCAAUGUCAUACAGGUAACUUGCACUCCAUAUGAUCGUAAUGUUCGUUUAUUCUGAUACUUCUUCACAGUAAGUAAAUUUCUUGAUGUCUACAAAUUAAGGAGACUUUUGUAUGGGUAAAGUUGACAUUUUACAAUGGCAUUCUGGAUCCUGAAAUCGGUCAGUUUGAGAUUCACAUGCUGUGAUAUGCUCUAAUGUUAAAACUCAAACCUUUUCUGUAUCUUAAAUGGAUUGUCGUGGAUAUGCCUGGGAUGAUCAUUUUCUUCCUCUUCACUUCAUCAUCUUUGUCAUAGUAGUUAUAAUUGAUUGAGGAGUGUGAAAACGCAUUGUGAUGAAUGAAUGCACAAGCUGUGUGAUUAAGACUGCAUUUAUUAGGUUGGUGACGGCAAAUAUCAGGCAGGAUAUUCACAAUAGUGCUACUGAAGCUUUAUAUGGAAUAAGGAGACCAAACCUCUAUAUGAUAAGAGUUGUAUGAAUACCAAAUGAAUUGUAAGAGGAUAUGGUUAAUUUAGAUUGUAAUUUAAGAAAGCUUGAGUUCUAAGAGCACAGAAAUGGGAUCAGUCUUGCUCAAGUGUGAACUCCAUCAGUUAGGAAGCUGUCCAUCAAAUGGAAAUAUUUACGUGAUUCAGAGAAAUUUUGGACUUUUGAUGAAAACAAAAAUCCUGUAUGCAUUUGCUUGCUCCCAAUCCUGUAUGCAUUUGCUUGCCCCGAAGGAGCUGAAAGUUCUCAAAUUGUUUGUAGACGUCAUAGUUCUCCUGAUGUCAUUUGGCUUGGUAAUCUUUUUUGCUCGAAAAUUUGCCCAUUGUGUGGUCUUGACGGUGGGUGCAAUUGAUUUGUGGUUUCAGAUGAAGACAGCAGCAGAUGUGUGUGUGCUAUAGGACAUCGAGAAAAAGCAAAGGCCUGAAAGAGUUCAUCAACAUUUUCCAUUUCAGAAGAAUCUGUAUGUGGUUCUCCUGCUCAAGUGCCUACUUUUCAGGGUGCAGCAUAUAUGUUGAGACCGGCAUAUGAAAUCACUAAACUUUAACAGUUGAUCCGAGGCUUCUCUAGCGAAGGAUUUGGAAUUAAUUUGGGGAAGGGGUGUUUUUUGGGUAUAUGAGUGUGUGCAUUCUUUCAAUCACGUAGCUUCGUGCCAUUAACAUAAUGGCAAUUCCACAAUGGUGAUAAUGAUAAUUUUAUGAUUGGGGCACAGUGUUAGGAACUCUUUACUGGUUUUUCUUUCGCAUCUGUGUCUAUGAUUAAGGUUGUUUAAGGUGGUAUGGAUUUCAGUACAUUGAACAAAAAAUUAUUUAUUUUUAUUCUAAUAAAAAUACCUAAAAAUCAAACCUAAGUUAAAAAAAAUAAAGUUUAAAAAAUUCUGAAAUUAAUCAAAUUUUAAAACUUGAGACUUUUAACAGAUUAAUCCAACCUUUGAAUAAAUAAACUAAAUGGGGGUCAGUUUUUCUUGUGUCAGCUUGUUCAAUCCGACACUAUCAUUUCAACCUCUCACGAAUAAACAAAUCACUAAUGAUGUGUCCAUUUCUUCUACUUUAUAAUAAUUUUUAAUAAAAAGAUUAUUAAAGUGGUUCGGCUGUGGGAGCCACACGUGUCUGUGGCAGCGCACACCCAAGAGAAGUCAGUCUGGUUCCGAGAAGAAAGUGAACAUGAGAUGAUGAGAUGCCGUAUCAAAUGGGGCCACGUAGACAGAGGUGCUUCAAGGUGACAUGUCAGCAGAUACCUCCACCGACGAUUUUCAAAAUAAUUUGAACGGUUGGGAUUUUAUUACAAUGGUGAUAACGGUUACACAUAAAAAUUAAGGAAAGAAAAAAAAUGAUUAUAAUUAACGGUGUACGAUCCAUGUUGUCGAUACGCCGUUGGACAACUUUCAUUAGACUGAAGAUAAUAGUCAAUUUGUCACUCACAUUAAAAAAAUUAUCUGCGUCGCGCUAACACACUCUUUCACCUUCAAUGUACUGAAACUGGGGAACUACAUGUAUGAUUUUCAUUCAGAAAAACCGAUGGGAACUAAUGACUUUCCAGAUUAAAAAAAAAAAAAAGUAGGAUUAUCAAACUAUGCAGCAUUGUUAUGUAAAGUUUUAUGGUUAUUUUAAGGCUAAAAUUGGUUUAGAAAUUAAUUAAAAGACAAUAUUCAUUCUAACAUAAAAGGAGUUUUUAACAAGAGGAGGAGGUUCCUUUUAUAAUUUACUAAUUUAUACAACCUUUAAUAUUAAAACAAUAUUUUAUAGAUUAAGGACGAUGAUUCUUGCUCACCUAGUAAGAUAUGUAGACAUAACAUAGAUGUGGUGAGCAGGGAAUCAAUUAUGUAUUUCUUGUUUCUGAGAAAAUAUAUAAUCCUUUAACGAGGAUUAUCAUCAAUUGCAGGUUUCUAGUUUGGUUGCUUAGUUUGAGGAAAGAAUAUAUGCUAUGGUGUUUGGCUGGUCUGCUUUUUUCUUUUCAAUUAAUUUAAUAUUCUUAUGCUAUGGAAUUGAUUAUCAUAACUAAAGGAAAGAAUAUAUACUAUGGAAUAUAUGCUAUGGUCUUUGGCUGGUCUACUUUUUCUUUUCAAUUAAUGUAUUAUUCAUAUGCUAUGGAAUAUGAAUAUUACAUUAAGGAAAAGAAUAUUGCAUACACAGCACACUAUAAUACUCUAAUUACCAAUUAUUUAUCUUGUAAUACAAGUUCAUAGCGAUUAAUUUAUCCCUCUUCAGCCAAAAAAAAAGUCCCAUUUCAGCACAUAUACAAGAGCCCUCAUUUUUCUUUGCUUCAGCCAUUUUAUAGCAGAAUCAUCACAGACACUUUGAGCUCUGCCGAAUCAUCAUAGACAAUUUGUGAUUGGUGGGAGCAUUACAAGAAAGGUACGACUACUUCGAACCGAUAGAUUUGUUUAUAUGAUUUAGCUAUCGUUUUAACUUUUAACAAUAAACAAGAGACAAUCAUGUACAUCAUUGGUUACAUAAAUAUUAAAAUGAGAUAAAUUUAUUCCUCUACUUGCCAGAUCCAUACAUAUUAAAAUGAGAUAAAUUUUAAGGUUUAAAAAUUUGCAAUUCAUCAAAAAUCUAGUGCGAUAUUAAGCGGUAAAAUCACUUAGGGUUAGUACAAGAGGUUUAUGAUUCCCUGACUCAUUUAUAUAGGAGGAGAGGGAAUUAGGCAAUAAUGAAUUGAUACAAAUUAAUAAUUAUAUUAUAAAAAGAAAUAAAUUUCAAGAGAGAUCAUAAGUUCGUAGAAGAUUGUAUGUAAGUUAUUUGUAGUGGAAUGGAGUUUUUUUGGAGAGGCUAUUUGGCUUGGAAUAUAUAUUAGAAUGAGAUUAUUUGAACCCACCGCAAUACUCUCUAAAAUCCACUUUUCAAUAAAAAAUUUCAGUACAAAAUUUUCCUUAAUUAAAUUACUAUUUUAGCCAAAUAUUAUGUUGAUUUAUCUCCCUAAAGUUUUUAUUUUUUUUCACCCUUUUUUCUCUUUUCCUCUCUGUUUCCCCAAUUUUUUUUUUUCCAGUCCUAUGUGGUUCUUAUAUUUUAAGGCUUCUAUUGGAGUAAGAUCUAUAUUCAAAUUGCUUAUCCAAAAAAAAAAAAAAAUCUUUUAAAAUUUGCCUUUCCUUUACCCUUGAGUCACUAUUAGAUGUAUAUGCUCCUCAAGAAACUUUAGUAAUUGGAUUUCUAUUAAAUAUUUUAAUUUCAAAAAAUGAGAAGGUCACUAUACAAAUAUCAAAAGAUCACCAACUUAAUUAUACUAGUUAUAAUUGAGGGAAAUAAAAGACUUACUAUUUCUGUUUGAAGUUAUUAUGAUGAACAAAGAAAGGGGGAGGGGGGGGGGGGGGGGAAACAAGUCGCUGCAAUUGCAUCAAUUGAGGACAUGUUAAGAAACGUAUCAUUGAGAUAAGAUUUAAUUGAUAAAAAUAAGAUUUACUAGAAAGUAGUGAGAGAAACAACUAACAAAAAUUCAUGAUACUUAUUGAGGGUAUAUUGAGAAUAUUUGUGGCUUUUUUUAGUUAAAAAAAUAAAGUUUUAAGUUGUGAUAAUGUGUUUAUUACGUAAAUGAGUUUAUUUAAUAUUACAGUGGAUUUAAGUAGCCUUACCCUUCAUAUUAUAAUAAAUUUUUACAUUACUCUAUAAUAGCCCUACUAUAGAGGACAAUGUAAUGAAAAUAUUGUUACUCUUAUACCUAUUAAAAGAAACAAUAUUAUCUUGUACGUACAAGAACGUUCUACUGCCCAAGUAAAAGUUUUAGUAAAACGUAUAAGAACUCUAAGUGUAAAGAGAAUUUCGUCAAGGUACUAUAGUAGUAUCUAAUGCUCUUUGCUAGUGUAAACUAUUUGUGCCACGUGUAGUAUUUCAAUCUUCACAAGUGGCAUUGCAUAUAGUGGUUCUUAUUUCAGUUCCUCAGAGGCACUCUAGAGGUACGUUAGCUUAUAAGCUAGUAUUUGGUCAUCAUGUGCUUCUUUUAAUGAAACAUGUGGUUCAUUUUGUCCUUAUACGAGAGCCUUUUGUGUGGAAUAACCUUGUAAAAUGCUCAUUUAUCAAGGACACAUGUCGUGUUGUCAGAACAUAGUAAAAAUAUGAUACGCUAACCCAUGUGCAUUUAUGAAAAAUCAAAUGAAAACAAAGAACUAAAAAAAAUGCAAAGGCUAAUUCAUAAUGUUUGAGUUUGAGAUGAUUAAUAUUUAAUUUUAUGGUUGCAAAGAUAAGAAUAAAAGUAGGUCUAGUGAGAAAUACCCUCAUAUUAUAAUACUAUUUAAAAUAAAUUUUGUUAUAAAAGAUUUUAUUUAAUAAGGUAUGGAGACUGUUCAAAAUAUAUUUUACGCACAAACUCAUAUGUUUGACGUAAUAGUAUGUCUCAUGCUAGGACUAGCAAUGGUCAAAUCAACCUAUUUCGAUAAGAUCCAUCAAAAUUAAUAUUUAAAAAAUUUAUCAUCUCAUUAUACAAUACACAGCUUUGCCAUCACAGCUUUGCCAUCUAGUAGAGAAUGAUUGGUUGGCACACCAUAGUUUACACGAAUAUUUCUAAUAUUUGAAUCGUCCGAAAAAAAAAACCUCUUUCUAAUUUGAGCUAGACAGAGUUAAAAAUGGUGCGAAACUCUAUUUUGAUUAAAAUUCAAUGACUUUCUUCGUAUUAAUCAAAUUAAUUAAUUAUUUUGGUAAAAAGAAUUUGCCAAUUGUGUGGCGGUCUUGAGACCCUUGACGGUGGUGAAAUUGAUUCACGGUUUCAAAUGAAGACAUGCAGCGGAUGCGUGCGUGCCGUAUGACAUCGAUGAAAAAGUAAAGAGUUUGAUUUCUCUAUUUUGCCCUUAAUUAAUCGUUGACAUCUAAUUUUACACUCCCAACAAAUUUGAAUGAAACAAUCCUAAUGUUCACUUUCUUCUUCGAUUUCAUUUUACGACUUAACAAAAACGAGAUGCUCCUGAUGAGGGGAAGGAGAAGAAGACACAGCGAAUUCGCAAGAACGUGUACAGAGGAAUAAGGCAGAGGCCAUGGGAGAAAUGGGCAGCUGAAAUUAGAGACCCUUACAAGGGCGUCCGCGUUUGGCUCGGCACAGCCGAAAAAGCUGCAAGAGUUUAUGCUGACGUCGCCAAGAAUAUCCGUGGCAACAAGGCCUAGCUCGACUUUGCUCACCGGCCGCCAGUAACUCCACCUCCAGGUAAGAAACGCUUCGUGCUAUCUCGUGAGUUGACUCAGCCGAGUUUCGGAGAUUACUUUUUUAUUGGUUUUCAUUGAUUUCUUUUCCUGCUCUUAUCUACGAGGUUGUGCUCUCCCUUGGAUGCCCUUUAAUAAACAGCUUUCCUAAUAACAACUGAAGCGAAAAGUCAUUUUAUCAAAUGAUUUGGUGAAAUUUCAAGUGCUUUCAUCUUGGGAUGUGGUAUAUGUAUCAAGUUCUUAUUGCUGGUGAACAUUACUGGUUUAGUGUGCGAUCGUUUACUAUCACUGCAUGCAUUAUCAGUUUAUUUUAUUGAACUAUCCCAAAUCAGUAACGAAUCCUCAAUUCCCUCUGUUUUCUUUGGAUCCUAGUAGUGUUUGGCAUGCAUCAACUAGUGUUCAUGCAUGUGUCGGUUCAUCAUAGACAACUUCAGCACACAUACAACAGCCCUCAUUUCUCCUUGCUCCAACCAAUCGAUGGCAGAAUCAUCACAGACACCUUGAGCUCUGUCGAAUCAUCAUAGACAAUUUGUGAUUAGUGGGAGCAUUACAAGAAAGUUACGACUACUUCAAACUGUUAGAUUUGUUAAUAUGAUUCGGCUAUAGUUCUAUAAUUGGUGAGUUUUUGUGGGUUUGUUUGAUAUUUUUUUGUGGGUUUGUUUCUCAUAAUCUUUAUCCAGUCAAAGCAAACGUUCGCCUCUCACAUUGACGGUUAGGCUAGAUGUUUGACCCUGAAUAAGAUGAUUGAGUUUAUUAUAGUCUUCUUAUAUUGGCGGUUCAAUAUCAUUUUGAAAUAUCACAUCAAUUCCGCUUUUGGAGUUUUAAUCCAUGCCCAGUUACACCUUUAUUUUACUUUUAAGCUGCAACAUUGAGUCACAUUCUUUUUCUGAUAUUAUUACGAUUAGCGACUGGUACAGUGGUAUUUGAACUGCAUAGCGUGUCAACAUUCACUCUAAAUGUCUUAGAAACUCUGUCUAUCACUAAUUUCCUAGAACAGGCCUCGUUGACAGUCAAAGAUUUGAGGCGUAUUUCUGGAUUGAAGGCUUUUCUCUAGUCAAUUUGAUGAUAAGCGCAUUUAUUAUCUCCAGCAUUAAGCAGUAAUUUGUAACUAGUAGUAGCCAGUACCUAAGAUGUUGCAUUUGACUGUCUUCUCUUUCUGGUUCAGUUUCGACCUUUGGAGCUGUUUUAGACAUGGUAACGGAUAGGUAAUUUCUCUCUACCCCAGCCCCCAAUGUAUCAUUAGUCAUCAUUCGUUCUGGUUGGUGGAGAUACACAUACUAAUUUGGAUUAUUGUCCGUGCCUUCGUCUUUUGUCAAUAAUCUUUUGCAUUUCAGGAUUAGUACAGCUUGUCUACUGGUAAUACUCUCUCAAGUAUACAGGUAAGACUUUGUUACGUUUUCUUGACCCGUAAUCUAAUGUUUUAAGAUGAAGGCAUAAUUGAGCUAUUUUGCAUCUCCAUGCAGGCCUGGUUUGGUUUUUGUGUCACUACCUGCAUUAGAUAUUGGUAGUCAAUGGCUGCAGAUGUACAGGUACCUUUUCGUUUCCCUGACAUAAUCUCAUGUUACAUGAAAUUGCUCGUGGAACUGGGAGAUUUUUUAUUUUUUAUUUUUUAUUUUUUCAUAUUUACUAAAGAAAAGUGUUACUUUCGUUGGGAAAAAUGCCUACCACUCUUUAUCUCUGUUGCAGUACAUUCUUAACAGGAAAAACUAGCCAUAAAGAUGCAAAAGACAGCACAAAUUGGCUUUUCAAAGCCUAUUAUGGGAACCGGAUGUUUAUGGGUUAUUGUUGUGUGGCGUGUGAGGUAAUUGUAGCUUUCCGUGUUAUUAUACAUAUCAGGAUUUGCAAAUGUUAUCAGUACUUUUUACCUGAUCCAACUGUUUCAACCCUGCAGCUUCUUUACCUAAUCCUAUUUCUUAUUGCGGAGAAGCAGAGGGAAAGCUUGGUGGAUGUAGGCUCUCAUUUUCUUGCUAUUAGAUUGUUCUGAAAAUAGAAAUAUUUCCCCUGUUUCUCGAUUUUUCAAACAAUUUCUUCUUUCAGGUUGUGGCGAGUGCUGUGCAACAGGGUUCGCCUCUUUCCUUCCUAGUUGCAUUGAGUUUAUUCGCAUGGGCGCAAUCAAGCAAACGAUUAAUGUCGUACAGGUAACUUCAACCCCAUAUGAUGGUAAUGUUCGUUUAAAUAAAUUUCUUGAUGUCUACAAAUUAAGGAAACCUUUGUAUGGGUAAAGUUGACAUUUUACACUGGCAUUAUGGAUCUUGAAAUCGGUCUGUUUUAGAUUCACAUGCUGUGAUAUGCUCUAAUGUUAAAACUCAAACCUUUUCUGUAUGUUAAAUGGAUUGUCGUGGAUAUGCCUGGGAUGAUCAUUUUCUUCGUUUUCACUCAUCGUCUUUGUCAUCGUAGUUAUAAUUGAUUGUGGAGAGUGAAAACGCACUGUGAUGAAUGAAUGCAAAAGCUAUGUAAUUAAGACUACAUUUAUUAGGUUGGUGACCACAAAUAAUCGGAAGGAUAUUCACAAUAGUGUUAUUGAAGCUCUAUAUGGAAUAAGGAGACCAAACCUGUAUGUGAUAAGAGUUGUAUGAAUACCAAAUGAAUUGUAAGAGGAUAUGGUUACUUUAGAUUGCAAUUUAAGAAUGCUUGAGUUCUAAAAGCACAGAAAUGGGAUCAGUCUCUUGCUCGAGGGUAAACUCCUUCGUCAGUUAGUGAACUGUCCAUCAAAAGUAAAUAUUUAUGGGAUUGAGAGAAAUUUUGAUGAAAACAAAAAUCCUGUAUGCAUUUGCUUGCCCCCAAGGAGCUGAAGAUUCUCAAAUUGUUUGUAGACGUAAUAGUUCUUCUGAUAUCAUUUGGCUUGCUAAUCUUUCUUGCUCGAAAAUUUACCCGUUGUGUGGUCUUGAUGGUGGGUGAAAUUGAUGUGUGGUUUCAGAUGAAGACGGCAGCAGAUAUGUGUGUGCCAUAUGACAUCGAGAAAAAGCAAAAACCUUAAAGAGUUCAUCAACAUUUUCCAUUCAGAAGAAUCUGUUUUGUGGUUUUCAUGCUCGAGUGCCUACUUUUCAGUAUGCAAGCAGAGGAUUUGGCAUUAAUUUGGGGAAGCCUUUUUUUUGGGUAUAUGAGUGUGUGCAUUCCUUCAAUCACGUAGCUUUGUGCCAUUAACAUAAUGGCAAUUCCACAAUUGUGAUAAUGAUAAUUUUAUGAUUGGGGCAUAUUGUUAGGAACUCUUUACUGGUUUUUCUUUCCCCAUCUGUGUCUAUGAUUAAGGUUGUUUAAGGUGUUAUGGCUUUUAAUCUGCAAUCAUUGCGAAAGGGACUCACUAGCCGGCAAAUAAUAAAACAUGGUGCUGUCAAAUUUUAUAAGGAUUAUAUAUACAUACACUUUCGUCUUCAAUGCACUGAAACUGGGGAACCAUCUAUAUGAUUUUCAUUCAGAAAAACCGGCGGGAACUAAUGACUUUCAUGAUUAAAAGUAGGAUUAUCAGAUUAUGGAGCAUUGUUAUGUAACGUUUUAUGGUUAUCUUAAGGCAAAAGUUGGCUUGGAAAUUAACUGAAAGGCAAUAUUCAUUCUAUCAUAAAACAAGUGUUUUUUUCACAAGGAGCUGAAAGUUCUCAAAUUUUUUGUAGACGUCAUAGUUCUCCUGAUGUCAUUUGGCUUGGUAAUCUUUUUUGCUCGAAAAUUUGCCCAUUGUGUGGUCUUGACGGUGGGUGAAAUUGAUUUGUGGUUUCAGAUGAAGACAGCAGCAGAUGUGUGUGUGCUAUAUGACAUCGAGAAAAAGCAAAGGCCUUAAAGAGUUCAUCAACAUUUUCCAUUUCAGAAGAAUCUGUUUGUGGUUCUCCUGCUCGAGUGCCUACUUUUCAGUGUGCAAGCAUAUAUGUUGAGACCGGCUGAUGAAAUCACUAAACUUUUACAGUUGAUCUGAGGCUCCUCUAAAGAAGGAUUUGGAUUUUGGAAUUAAUUUGGGGAAAGGGUUUUUUUCGGGUAUAUGAGUGUAAGCAUUCCUUCAAUCACGUAGCUUUGUGCCAUUAACAUAAUGGCAAUUCCACAAUGGGGAUAAUGAUAAUUUUGUGAUUGGGAACUCUUUACUGGUUUUUCUUUCGCCAUUUGUGUCUAUGAUUAAGGUUGUUUAAAGUGUUAUGGGUUUUAAUCUACAACCAUUGCGAAAUGGACUCGCUAGCUGGCAAAUAAUAAAACAUAGUGCUGUCAAAUUUUGUAAGGAUUAUGCAUACACACUCUUUCGUCUUCAAUGCCCUGAAACUGGGUAACUACAUGUAUGAUUUUCAUUCAGAAAAACUGGCGAGAACUAAUGACUUUGCAGAUUAAAAAAUAAGUAGGAUUAUCAGAUUAUGUAGCAUUGUUAUGUAAUGUCUUGUGGUUUUUUUAAGGUUAAAGUUGGUUUGGAAAUUAAUUAAAAGACGAUAUUCAUUCUAUCAUAAGACGAAUUUUUAACAAGAGGAGAAGGUUCCUUUUUAUAAUUUACUAAUUUAUACAACCUUUAAUAUUAAAACAAAAUUUUAUAUAUUAAGGACGAUGAUUCUUGCUCACUUAGUAAGAUAUGUACAUAACAUAGAUGUGGUAAGCAAGGAAUCAAUUAUAUAUUUCUUGUAUCUGAAAAAAUGAAUCAUCCUUUAACGAGGGUUAUCAUCAAUUGCAGGUUUCUAGUUUGGUUGCUUGGUUUGAGGACUAUGAAUAUUACAUUGUCAUAACUAAAGGAAAGAAUAUUGUAUACACAGCACACUAUAAUUACCAAUUCUUUAUCUUAUAAUAUAAGUUCAUAGUGAUUAAUUUGUCCGUCUUCAGCCAGAAAAAAAAAAAAAAAAAGUCCCAUUUCAGCACAAAUACAAGAGCCCUCAUUUUUCUUUGCUCCAGCCAUUUUAUAGCAGUGUCAUCACAGACACCUCAAGCUCUGCCGAAUCAUCAUAGACAAUUCGUGAUUGGUGGGAGCAUUACAAGAAAGGUACGACUACUUCAAACUGAUAGAUUUGUUUGUAUGAUUUGGCUAUAGUUUUAACUUUUAACAAUAAACAAGAGACAAUCAUGCACGUCGUUAGUUACAUAAAUGUAGAUACUAAUUUAUUCCUGUACUUGCCAGAUCCAUACAUAUAAAAAUGAGAUAAAUUUUAGCGUUUAAAAAAUUUCAAUUCAUCAAAAAUCUAGUGCCAUAUUAAGCGGUAAAAUCACUUAGGGUUAGUACAAGAGGUUCAUGAUUCCCCGACCCGUUUAUAUGUAGGGGUGGAGAAGGUUUUAGGCAAUAAAGAAUUAGUAAAAAUUAAUAAACAUAUUAUAAAAAUAAAUAAAUUUCAAGAGGGAUCGUAAAAGAUUGUAUGUAACUUAUCGUUAGCGGAAUGAAAUUUUUUUGGAGAGGCUAUAUUUGGCUUGGAACAUAUAUUAGAACAACGUUAUUUGAACCCACCGCACUCUCCAAAAUCCACUUCUCAAUAAAAAAUUUCAUUACAAAUUUUUUCUUAAUUAAAUUAUUAUUUUAACCAAAUAUUAUGUUAAUUUGUCUCCCUAAAGCUUUUAUUUUUUCACCCUUUUUUCUUUUUUCCUCUCUGUCUCCCCAAUUUUUUUUCUAGUCCUGUGUGGUUAUUAUACUUUAAGGCUUCUAUUGGAGUAAAAUCUCUAUUCAAAUUGCUUAUCCAAAUUUUUUUUUUCUUUUAAAAUUUGCCUUUCCUUUACCCUCGAGUCACUAUUAGAUGUAUAUGCUCGUGAUGAAACUUUAGUAAUUCGAUUUCUAUUAAAUAUUUUAAUUUUAAAAAAAUGAGAAGAUCACUAUAAAGAUAUCAAAAGAUCACCAACUUAAUUAUAGCAAUAAUUAAGGGAAUUAAAAGACUUACUAUUUUUGUUUGAAGUUAUUAUUACAAAGAAAGAAAGGGAAAAAAAAAAGUCGCUGCAAUUGCAUCAAUUGAGGACAUGUUAAGAAAAGUAUCAUAGAAAGUAGUGAGAGAAACAACUAAUGAAAAUUAAUGAUACUUAUUGAGGGUAUAUUGGGAAUAUUUGUGGGUUUUUUGAAUGAAAAAAUAAAAUUUUAAGUUGUGAUGAUGUGUUUAUUAUAUAAAUGAGUUUAUUCAGUAUUACAAUGGGUUUAAAUGGCUUUAUCCUUCGUAUUAUAAUAAAUUUUUAUAUUACUAUAAUAGCCGUAAUAUAGAGGACAAUGUAAUGAAAAUAUUGUUACUCUUAUACCUAUUAAAGAAACAAUAUUAUCUUGUACAGACAAGAACACUCCAGUGCUCAAGUGUAAAAGUUUUAGUAAAACGUAUAAGAACUCUUUUAAGUGUAAACAGAAUUUCGUCAAGGUGCUGUAAUAGAAUCUAAUGCUCUUUGGUAGUGUAAACUAUGUGUGCCACGUGUAGUAUUUCAAUCUUCACAAGUGGCAUUGUAAAUAGUGGCUCUUAUUUCAGUUCCUCGUAGGCACUCUAGAGACACGUUAGCUUUGAAGCUAGUAUUUGGUCAUCACGUGCUUCUUUUAAUGAAACAUGUGGUUCAUUUUAUCCUUAUAUGAGAGCAUUUUGUGCGGAAUAACCAUGUCAAAUGCUCAUUUAUCAAGGACACGUGUCGUGUUCUCAGAACAUAGUAAAAAUAUGAUACGCUAACCCAUGUACAUUUAUGGAAAAUCAAAUGAAAACAAAGAACUAAAAAAAAGUACAAAGGCUAAUUAAUAAUGUUUGAGUUUGAGAUGACUAAUAUUUAAUUUUAUGGUUGUAAAGAUAAGAAUAAAAGUAGGUCUAGUGAGGACUAUCCUCAUAUUAUAACACUAUUUAAAAUAAAUUUUGUUAUAAAAGAUUUUAUUCAAUUAGGUAUAGAGACCGUUCAAACCAUAUUUUAGGUACAAACUCAUCUAUUUGACAUAAUAGUAUGUCUCAUAAUAUCUUUACAACAUAUUUCGAUAAGAUCCUUCGAAAUUAAUAUUUAAAAGAUUUAUCAUCUCAUUAUACAAUACACAGCUUUGCCAUCUAGUAGAUAAUGAUUGGUUGGCACACCAUAGUUUACAUAGAUAUUUCUAAUAUUUGAAUCAUUUGUUAGGAAAUUUUAAUCCUACCAAGAUCUUGUAAGUAAACAUAUCAAAUAAAAAGUAAAUAGAUAAUAUAUAGAGAAUAAAACCAAUCAUACAACACAAUAAUUUACCGGAGAAAAAUUCCUAUACUAGAGAAAAACCACGGCCGCCAAAGAUGACGAAAGAAAAAUCCACUAUGUAAAGAUCAUUACAAUCACUCUAGUAUUUUCCUCACAUACAAAACCCCAAUAACAAAUAAUCUCUCAUUCUAGAAACUGUCUACUUGUAUAGAACUGAUUAUUGUGUUAUGCAAACAAGUGAAUCUAACAUUCUUAUAUAUUGUGAUUAUUUCAUAUAAGAGAAGUAUUUAUUUCCUUAUAUAAUUUGUAUUCCUCCUUUAAUAAGUUCUUUGGAAUUACUUAUUCCUUAAACAUGAAUCCCCCAAACAAAAAAAUUACUAAAUAAAAAAAUUCUAGGAAAUAUUCUAAUUUAAGAUUUACAAAUCCUCAUUGAAAAAGGAGAUAUGUUUCUUAAAAAUCUCAACUUUGGCGAGUUUUUAAAUUAAACGACAAAAUAUGAUCCACCAUACAUCUAUGCAACCAUGUCGUCUCCACCUUCUUUAAUCUACCAAAACUACACUGACAUUGGAGUAAUGAGAAUCACUCCACCAUGAGUAAAAUCUUGUCCUCUAUCCAGCAGCCAUAAUUUUCUACAUCGAGAAUCAUCAUACUUCACAUUAUCCAGAGUACACAUGUUUGGCAUAUGUCGAUCACAUUUCUGAAAUUACCCACUCUCAUGUUUGGCUUCUUUGAGAGUCCUCAAUGAUCAACAUAAAAAGUCCACCACAUACCUUGCAUAAAUACUAAACUGCAUGUUGUGUGCACAUCUUGUGGACCCAUUAGCAAUAACACAUCCUCUUCCACGACACACCAAUAGAUGACACACAACAUGCAGUUUUGUAAAACAUCAUUUAUUACACUCCUCCAGGGGUUUCUACUAGUGGAAUAGGCCUGACAUUGCUCUUUGCUUUACUUGUAUAGACAGAUUGAAUCAAUAUGUUAUUGACUUGAGCUUCCUAAAAGCCAAAAUUAAUUAUUCCGUCAAACUUUUCUGUUUCCAUCUUCAUAGGUUUUGAAAACCUCCUUGUUGACGUAUUUGCUCUACAUUGCAGCCUUAGCUCUAUUAUCACCUGCUAAGAAAUAAUUAAUCUCACCUAAGAUUCGCAAGAAAAAAUAUGAAAUAAAUAGUAAAUAUAAAAUAGGUGGAGAAUAAAGCUAAUAAAAUAAUACAAAAAUUUACAUGAAAAAUUUCUAUAUUGGAGAAAAAUUAUAAUAGCUAAGGACGAUAAGAGAAAAAAUUAUUAUGUAAAUAUUAUUAUAAUUACUCUAGGGUUUUUCUCACACCUAAAACACCAAAAACACCUAAUUUUAAUAGAACUACUUUUCUCUCACACUAAAAACUAUUUACUUAUAGAUAACUGAUUGUUGAAUUAUGCAAAGAAGUAAACUCAAUCUCCAUAUAUAUAUAUAUGUAGUGAUUAUUUCAUAUAGAAGUUGUAUUCCUUUCCUUAUAUGAUUUGUAUUCCUCUUUGAAUAAGUUAAGUUCUAAAGAGAAAAUUACUUAUUUCUUAAAUAUGAAUUAUAUUCAAUAAGAAAACUAAAAAGUCUAGAAAAUUUCUAAUUUAAGACUUAAAAAUCUUCUUUGAAAAAAGAGACAUCUCCCAAUAUCCUCAAAUCCUCCUUACAAUGCCACCAAUCUCUUUUGUGACUAGCCCAGUUGAAACUUUUAAUGGAUGGGCUGUAAUUGCCAAUAUCCAAAUAAAACAAAUUUCCAUAGGUAUAUUGGUAGAUUGAAUGACAACUAACAACACAUGAUUUGAUUAACUUACUUCCAAAAAAAAAAAAAAGAUACAAUGGAUGAACAUAAGACUCUUGUGCCAACUCAUGGAAUUCAUCAAUAAGGCCUUGGCUGAUCCACCUCAUGACUAGUAGAGUUCAAACCCCCGCUAAAUAGUAAAAAAAAUAUUUGGAUUAUUAAUUACUCUUUCUUAAGUCUAUUUAAACUUAACUUUAAGAAUUAUGAACGUCUACACUUUAAUUAAAACAAUACAAGCCCACCCGUUUGUAUUUAAAAUUUUGUUUGAAUUUAUUCACGAGCAACAAGAAUAGUAUAAAUGGAAAAAAAAGUACCAUAAAAUAAUAUCCGAUGAUUCUGUUUCUUCAAUUUCAGGAGCAAUGGUGGAAUCAUAUUUUCCGAUUGAAAAACUUUUGGAAAAAUUAGGGAGCUUUGCUUAUGAAGAACUUUUAUUGUUCUGCGGUGUCAAAAAUGACUUACAAAAGUUAAAGGAGACGUUAACCACUGUCAAAAGUGUGGUUUUGGAUGCUGAGGAAAAGCAAAUCCAUAAUCGCCGGUUAAGCGAUUGGUUGGGAAAGCUUAAGGAUGCUUGUUAUGAUGCAGAAGAUGUGUUGGAUGAAUUUGAGGUGGAAGAUCUACGAAGGCAAGUCAUGAAGCAAAGAAGCAUCGGAAGAAAGUUUCGUAACUUUUUUGGAAGCUCAAAUCCGAUAGCUUUUCGUUUUAGAAUGUGUCAACAAAUCAAGAAAGUCAGAGAGAGGUUUGAUGAGAUUGCAAACAUGAUGCAUAAGUUUGAUCUCACUGCACGACUUGAUGAUCGUAGUUGGCGAAUUGUGCACAAAGAAAGGGAACCUACUCACUCGUUUAUGCAUCCAUCAGAUAUUAUUGGAAGAGAUAAAGAUAGAGAAAAGAUUAUUGAACUAUUGAUGCAAACAAGUGACGGCGAAAGUGAAACUGUGUCUGUGGUUCCUAUUGUGGGACUUGGAGGUUUGGGCAAGACUGCACUUGCAAAAUUGGUGUACAAUGAUCAAAGGGUAGAAGAGCAUUUUGAGUUGAAAAUCUGGAUAUGUGUUUCUGAGGAUUUUGAUGAGAGACAAAUUAUGACAAAGAUUAUCAAAUACCACGGUGACUUGGAUACAGACCAAUUGCAACGAAUCUUGCGAGAUCGUUUGAAUGGUAAGAGAUACUUGCUUGUUAUGGAUGAUGUAUGGAACGAAGAUCCUGAAGCAUGGCGUAAAUUAAAAAGCUUAUUGUUGGGAGGUGCUAACGGAAGCAAAAUUUUGGUAACCACACGUAGCAGGAAGGUUGCUUCAAUCAUGGGCACGAGGGGAGGUACUAUUGGCUACAACUUACAAGGUCUACCAUUCGAGGAUUGCUUGUCUUUGUUUAUGAAAUGUGCAUUUAAAGAAGAGCGAGAUAAACAUCCAAACCUCAUAAAAAUCGGGGAAGAAAUUGUGAAAAAAUGUGGGGGAAUUCCUCUGGCAGUCAGAGCACUAGGAAGUCUAUUAUAUUGCUCAACGGAUGAACAUGAUUGGGAAUAUGUGAGGGGUAAUGAGAUAUGGCAGUUAGAGCAAAAGGAAAGUGGCAUUUUACCUGUUCUGAGGUUAAGCUACGAUCAAUUGCCGCCUCAGCUGAAACAAUGUGUUGCUUAUUGUUCAAUCUUUCCCAAGGAUUAUGAAUUUGAUAGUUAUACUUUGGUUCAAUUUUGGAUGGCUCAUGGUCUUCUCCAAUCCCAUAAUAAGAAUGAAGAGUUAGAAGAUAUUGGUAUGCGGUACUUGAAGGAAUUACUAUCAAGAUCUUUCUUCCAAGAUUUGACUUUUGGGAUGUUUGGAUUGGAUUUUUUUUUUUUCAAAAUGCACGACCUUAUGCAUGAUCUUGCCCUGCUAGUGGCCAAAGAUGAAUUCCUAGUAGUGAACUCUGAUUGUCAAUUUAUUCCCAAAAGUGUCCGUCAUUUGUCAUUUGGUACUGCUAAUGCAUCAAGAAAUAACUUUUCAAGCCUUUUAUUUGAUCUAGGU
rnacentral:lncRNA from 1 species